CAAGUUGAGGUUGGACUAAGACCUGAAAAAUACUCUGGUUCUCCACUAUCCCUCUGAAUGACCUUUCGCAAAUCUGACCUCAGUGCAUCUGUUCAGCAGAUACAGUAUGUCUCUCCCAGGAGUGAGAGAGCACAACCUCCCUGGAGAUAGUAUAUCAAGGUAUGAACUGGGAAGAUUAUCUACAUGGCCUUGCAUCACUGCCUGGAAUAGAACAGCUCUCUGUUUGAAAGAGUCUUGGCAUGCCAAGUAACAGAACACAAAUCCCUUGUGACAGACUUCAGGAACUUUAUUCACAGC